AUUGAACGCUGGCGGCAUGCCUUACACAUGCAAGUCGAACGGCAGCACGGGAGCAAUCCUGGUGGCGAGUGGCGAACGGGUGAGUAAAGUAUCGGAACGUGCCCAGUCGAGGGGGAUAACGUAGCGAAAGUUACGCUAAUACCGCAUACGAUCUAUGGAUGAAAGCGGGGGAUCGCAAGACCUCGCGCGAUUGGAGCGGCCGAUAUCAGAUUAGGUAGUUGGUGGGGUAAAGGCUCACCAAGCCGACGAUCUGUAGCUGGUCUGAGAGGACGACCAGACACACUGGGACUGAUACACGGCCCAGAGUCCUACGGGAGGCAGCAGUUGGGAAUUUUGGACAAUGGGCGAAAGCCUGAUCCAGCCAUGCCGCGUGCAGGAUGAAGGCCUUCGGGUUGUAAACUGCUUUUGUACGGAACGAAAAGGUUUGGGCUAAUAAGCUGAGCUCAUGACGGUACCGUAAGAAUAAGCACCGGCUAACUACGUGCCAGCAGCCGCAGUAA
rnacentral:rRNA from 1 species